rnacentral:rRNA from 1 species
AUAUUAAAGGGCCGCGGUAUUCUGACCGUGCAAAGGUAGCAUAAUCAUUAGUCUUUUAAUUGAAGGCUGGAAUGAAUGGUUUGACGAAAUAUUAACUGUCUCUUUAUAAUUMAUAAAAUUUAACUUCUGAGUUAAAAGGCUUAGAUAAAUAUAAAAGACGAGAAGACCCUAUAGAUCUUUAUACAUGGAUAUAUUGAUUUWGUUUAGAUGUMMUUUUAAUGAAUAUAUUAUUGUAUUUUGUUGGGGUGACAUGAAGAUAAAAUUAACUCUUCAUUAUUAAUACAUUGAUUUAUGUAUAAUUGAUCCGUUAUUAACGAUUAUAAGAUAAAGUUACCUUAGGGAUAACAGCGUAAUUUUUUUUGAGAGUUCUUAUCGACAAAAAAGAUUGCGACCUCGA